rnacentral:rRNA from 1 species
UACAGAGGGUGCGAGCGUUGUCCGGAAUCACUGGGCGUAAAGGGCGCGUAGGUGGUGGCUUAAGCGUGCGGUGAAAGCUCGGAGCUCAACUCCGAGUCGGCCGUGCGAACUGGGCUCACUGGAGCAUAGUAGAGGCAGGUGGAAUUCCGGGUGUAGCGGUGGAAUGCGUAGAGAUCCGGAAGAACACCGGUGGCGAAGGCGGCCUGCUGGGCAGUGGCUGACACUGAGGCGCGACAGCGUGGGGAGCAAACAGG